rnacentral:rRNA from 1 species
GACAGAGGGUGCAAACGUUGUUCGGAAUUACUGGGCGUAAAGCGCGUGUAGGCGGCUCGGAAAGUCGGAUGUGAAAGCCCAGGGCUCAACCCUGGAAGUGCACUCGAAACUCCCGAGCUGGAGUCCCGGAGAGGAAGGCGGAAUUCUCGGUGUAGAGGUGAAAUUCGUAGAUAUCGAGAGGAACACCCGUGGUCGGCAAAGGCGGUCCUCUGGGACGGUGACUGACGCG